GAGCGCAGGGCGAGCGGCGACUUGAGGCGCCAUCCGUUCUCCGGGCCGGCGGAUCUUUGGAAGACCAAGGGGACCGGCAGUGGGAUGAACAUGUCGGGGACCUGUCACAGAAGAUGGAAUGUACACAUACACACAUACACACACACACACACACACACACACACACACACACAAACGAACCAACCAACCAACCAACCAAGGCUAUUAUAGUAGACAUUUUCCAAAAUAAUAACAAAAGCCAAACUGGGGAUGAUGGCUGUUUUUGGAUAGUGUUUGAUCUCACCUGAAGAAAUUCUCUUUCUGGAGUGAAGCUGGGAAGAGGGUACAUGUGCACCCCAUUUCAGCCUUCAAAGGGAAAAGGAAGGUCUGUAGAUGCUAAUAAUAAACCACCGUAGGAAAGAGGAGCUGAGUUAAUCACAAAUCCACCCAUCCAAAGAAACAAGGCAGUCACCUAACAGGAGGACUUGGUUCGUUUCCAGGAGAGCUGCUUCAGCCUGCAUUGGAAUUGCCCACCAAAUGUAAAUCCUGAACAGGCUACCUUGAAAAUUACUCCUUUCCACGUUCUAAUCUGCAUUUAACAACGCUUAAAAGUAUUGCUUUGUAGAUGAAAGGGAGUUCUUAGCAGCACCUGCGAAAAUGCCCUUAUAACUGCUGGUCCAAUGAGGUAUUGCCCCCUCUUCUAUUUCAUCCCAAACAAACUAAAAGAAACACACUGCUCUUUUAAAAUGUGCAGCAUGGAUAUGCCAUUUCCAGUCUCCACCCUUUCUGCACCAGUAUCUACUCUACUGGGCAUUAGAAGAAUUGUUUCAAUGUGAUUUAUUUUUAUAUUGUAACUACUCUAAACCAAUGGGAAUUGGGUGGGGUGGAAAUAAAAAAUAUUCAUCCUAAAUACAUCGCUAAUCUCAAAUUUAAUUGCUGGCAAAAGUAUUUAUUGUUUUGUUUAUUUGUUGUUUCCAUUGUUUCCACCUUUCUACAACAGAACUGAUGCAUGGAGUAAGAGGUUUAAACAAGGAGACGUGGAACAGAAAAGUGUAUGGAAUAAUGAGUAAACAGAGGAAGGUUUUAUCCCUAUAAGCCAGCAUCCGAAGAGUUGAGCUCAAUGGCUUGUGGGUGGGUCCCUGCUUGGAUUCUGGACUACAGUAUUUAUUUCUUGAAACAGCAAAAUUUUCUCCUCCGUGUCAUAUUACAAACUAUUUAGUUUCAAAAAUGACUUCUUUCUAGCAUGCCAAAUUUCAUUGGGUAAGAGGAACCAGUUGUGCCGUUCUAUGGAUGUUGGCCUUAAUUUCUCUCUGUAGACAGAUCAUAUAGAUGUGUGCAUACACCUGUUUGCUUUUUCUUAAAUAAUCCAGCUUUUACAUUGUUAUUUGUGCAUUCAAACUUCAAAUAUAAUGGCACGCAAUUAAUUAGCAUGCAGGUAAUAGAUAUGUGCAGACUCAAAGUAAGGGAUGGGCAUUCUGCGUUUCCAUCUGCAUCACACAAGAUGGAUGGGAAAGAAUAUCCUAUCCACACCACACUGUACUAAUGCUUUUUCAAUCAGCAAUGGAGCGCUGGGCACUGCGUGCAUGGUUCCCAAUCCAAUAUCUGGAACUGUAUGUAUAGCUGGGUGCUGGCAUCCAAACAAAAGAUCUGCUCAUGUAGCAAUUUUGCAGCGUAAACAGAUCCUGAUCCAGAAGAUGAACCUGCAUUAUGUAUGGAUACUUCUUGCUGGAUUGGUUAAACUUGUAUAUCCUUUUUCUGUGAACUGAUUAAUCCAGAGCAAGUAGCACCAUCAACUUAGAUGGAUAAGAAUCAUCACUAAACAUGCAUACACACUCUUUGGUCACUUCAACCAUGCAGAUUAUGUGUACAAAAGGUUAACUGAAAUAAGAGAGAGAGAGAGAGAGAGAGAGAGAGAGAGAGAGAGAGAGAAGCCACUCUCUAUUAAAUAUUAUUUAGAAAACAUUAUUGCUAUCCUGCAAUGUACAAGACGUUACUUUGCAGUUCUAGAGUUAGAUAUGUCUUUUGCAUGUAUUAAGAUACUUCCUGUCUUCAUUUAGAAUUAAAAACUGGGAAACAUGAAAUCUCUUUCUACCCCUACUGUAUCAUAUUUGUUUACCAUUUAAAUGUUUAUCGUAAAAAGAUGUACAAUUUCAGCCUUUCCUCCUGUACAACCUAGCAUCCUCACUACAACCUGGGCCUACCUUCAAAGAAAUGGAAGGAUCUAAAGUACUAUGAUGUCGUGGCUUACAAGCUCAAUCCAAAAGAAAUAAAGAUUUGGAAGAAAAAUUCAAUAAGUGAUCUAAUAGAGCAAUUAAUGGACUGUCUGAAAAAUUACCAAGAAAUCUGGAAUGAACACUCUUUUCCAGUUUCUCAUUCCAAACCUUAUUAAGAUUUGGUUGGUUCAUUUUAUCUUUCUAAAAUGCAAUUUGCUAAUUUGGAGGCAAUAGUGGGGAAAUCUAGAAAGAGGUUUGGAGGAGGUGAUAAUUUAAAGAGAGAGAAAGAGAGAUUGAGAUUUAAUCAGAAAUAGUUCUCCUCCUACAGAAAGUAACAUAAAAUUAAAAGAGGAAAUAAAAGGAACAAAAAGAAUGGGAUUUCUUUGUUGCUGCGGAACUCUCGCUGGGAUAUCGUCAAUGAAUAGGGGGGGGGGCAUCAUUCUUUGGCUGUCUUCCACUCUAUCUUCUUUUAGGGGAUAGGGAGAUACCUGCAAAGCGUUUUACCCUCAUUCCCCAGUUCAUAAAAAAGGGAAGGUAGGAAAGUGGAUGUGAUAUUUGCAAAAAGAUUGCUGUAGUGGGAAACUAGUAAAUAUACAGAGGAGUUUUCUCACGUAAGACAUGGAAGAGAAAAUAUUUGGGGUAAGCCUUCAUCAAUAGGGGGCCAGGCCUUUGCUUUAUCCCACUCAUGGGCAAUGAGAUCAGCUUGGUUUUUUUAGAGUGAUCCUUUAUGACUUUUGGGGAAAGGUGUCAUCCUGAAUUUUUCCACCGAAAUUCCACUGCAGUAACCUGUGCCUUUUAACAUGAUCAGAAAUUGUACAGUUUGAUGCUUUGCACAUUAAAAAAAAUGUUCAACGAAACAAUAAAGCCAAUUUCAACCCACCCUGAAAAAUAA